rnacentral:rRNA from 1 species
AUAGCGUAUAUUAAAGUUGUUGUGGUUAAAACGCCCGUAGUUGAUUUUUCGACUUUGGAGCGCGGUAUCUCGAAAGAGUUUUCACUGCGUCUUCAAGUCUGAAUUUAAGUUUUCUAUGGAUGCUCUUUAUUGAGUGUCCUUAGUGACUUGAACGUUUACUUUGAAAAAAUUAGAGUGCUUAAAGCAAGCUUUACGCUUGAAUAAAGUGCAUGGGAUAAUGGAAUAGGACUUUAGUCUUAUUUUGUUGGUUUUCGAGAUUAAAGUAAUGAUUAAGAGGAAUAGACGGGGGCAUUCGUAUUGUUGCGUUAGAGGUGAAAUUCUUGGAUCGCAGCAAGACGAACAACUG